GAUCAUGGCUCAGAAUGAACGUUGGCGGUGCGCCUAACACAUGCAAGUCGAGCGGAAGUAAUUCAGCGGCAGACGGGUGAGUAACGCGUGGGAAUCUGCCCUUUAGUGAGGAAUACCUUCGAGAAAUCGGAGUUAAUACUGCAUACGUCCCUUCGUAAGAAGGGAGAAAGAUGGCCUCUUUGCUGUCGCUAAAGGAUGAGCCUGCGUACUAUUAGCUAGUUGGUAGGGUAAUGGCCUACCAAGGCGAUGAUGGUUAGCCGGCCUGAGAGGGUGAUCCGCCACAUUGGAACUGAGACACGGUCCAGACUCCUACGGGAGGCAGCAGUGAGGAAUAUUGCGCAAUGGGCGAAAGCCUGACGCAGCGACACCGCGUGAAGGAUGAAGGCUUUAGGGUCGUAAACUUCUGUUAAGUGGGAAGAAAAAAGUAGUCCUAAUACGACCAAGAAAUGACGGUACCACUAGAGAAAGCACCGGCUAACUUCGUG
rnacentral:rRNA from 1 species